rnacentral:lncRNA from 1 species
AACAGAAUGUAGAAAUAUAUGUACUUAGUACUAUCAUAAAUUAACAUUUUUUUAUUGGUAGUUUCGAAGUUUACGUUGGAAAAGUUGUACCUACGUGAGUGUUUUUUCAAGUGAAUGCAGAUAUUUACAAAGAGACUGUGCCAUGUCGACGACCAGAUGGGUCGUUAGGUGAGAUGACAGUAUGUACAGAUGAAUCUGGCCGAAGAGUUGAUUGCCCGUUUGAAGACGAUGCCGACGUCGAAGUUAUGGAAUUUCAAGAACAGCAAUACAUUCCAAAAAUACCGGUAGUAUAAAAUAAAUUCCCUUAGACAGUAAGGUAAAUAAGUAAAUAUUCCACAUAUGUACUCAUCCUUAAACCGUUCUGCCACAGUUAUUUACCACAGUUCAACUUAAUUGAACUGUGGUAAAUAACUAAUAAAAGGUGGUACAGUAUUAACUUUUAAUACAACUGUUUUUGAACUUCGCGGUAACUACAUGCCUUCCG